GCUUCGGCCUGGUAUUAUAACCCUUCGUUGCCGAUUCUGUUGCCCCGGAGCGACUCUGCCCCGGGCGGGGGCCCGGGCGACACUUAAACUCUCGCGUAACUCCUGAGUCCAGUAAAUUAAUUAAUAAAUUAAAACUUCUAACAACGGAUCUCUCGGUUCUGGCAUCGAUGAAGAACGCAGCGAAAUGCGAUAAGUAUGUGAAUCGCAGAAUUCAGUGAAUCAUCGAAUCUUUGAACGCACAUUGCGCCCCCCGGUAUUCCGGGGGGCAUGCCUGUUCGAGCGUCAUUUCACCACUCAAGCCUCGCUUGGUAUUGGGCAACGCGGUCCGCCGCGUGCCUCAAAUCGUCCGGCUGGGUCUUCUGUCCCCUAAGCGUUGUGGAAACUAUUCGCUAAAGGGUGUUCGGGAGGCUACGCCGUAAAACAACCCCAUUUCUAAGGUUGACCUCGGAUCAGGUAGGGAUACCCGCUGAACUUAAGCAUACUA
rnacentral:rRNA from 1 species